GACGAACGCUGGCGGCGUGCUUAACACAUGCAAGUCGAACGGAAAGGCCCUGCUUUUGUGGGGUGCUCGAGUGGCGAACGGGUGAGUAACACGUGAGUAACCGGCCCUUGACUUUGGGAUAACUUCAGGAAACUGGGGCUAAUACCGGAUAGGAGCUCCUGCUGCAUGGUGGGGGUUGGAAAGUUUCGGCGGUUGGGGAUGGACUCGCGGCUUAUCAGCUUGUUGGUGGGGUAGUGGCUUACCAAGGCUUUGACGGGUAGCCGGCCUGGGAGGGUGACCGGCCACAUUGGGCCUGAGCUACGGCCCAGACUCCUUCGGGGGGCAGCGGUGGGGACUUUUGCCCAAUGGGCGGAGGCCUGAUGCAGCACCGCCGCGUGCGGGAUGACGGCCUUCGGGUUGUAAACCGCUUUCGCCUGUGCCGAAGCGUGAGUGCCGGUACUGGGUAAAGAAGCCCCGGCUACCUCCUU
rnacentral:rRNA from 1 species